rnacentral:rRNA from 1 species
GAUGAACGCUGGCGGCGUGCCUAAUACAUGCAAGUCGAGCGAACGGACGAGAAGCUUGUUUCUCUGAUGUUAGCGGCGGACGGGCGAGUAACACGUGGAUAACCUACCUAUAAGACUGGGAUAACUUCGGGAAACCGGAGCUAAUACCGGAUAAUAUUUUGAACCGCAUGGUUCAAAAGUGAAAGACGGUCUUGCUGUCACUUAUAGAUGGAUCCGCGCUGCAUUAGCUAGUUGGUAAGGUAACGGCUUACCAAGGCAACGAUGCAUAGCCGACCUGAGAGGGUGAUCGGCCACACUGGAACUGAGACACGGUCCAGACUCCUACGGGAGGCAGCAGUAGGGAAUCUUCCGCAAUGGGCGAAAGCCUGACGGAGCAACGCCGCGUGAGUGAUGAAGGUCUUCGGAUCGUAAAACUCUGUUAUUAGGGAAGAACAUAUGUGUAAGUAACUGUGCACAUCUUGACGGUACCUAAUCAGAAAGCCACGGCUAACUACGUG